rnacentral:rRNA from 1 species
ACGGGGUGCAGCAGGCGCGAACACUUUACAAUGCGGGAAACCGCGAUAAGGGAACCCCGAGUGCCAGCAUCAAAUGUUGGCUGUCCAGAUGAUUAAAAAUCAUUUGUUAGCAAGGGCCGGGCAAGACCGGUGCCAGCCGCCGCGGUAACACCGGCGGCCCGAGUGGUAGCCGUUUUUAUUGGGUCUAAAGGGUCCGUAGCCGGCCUGAUAAGUCCUUUGGGAAAUCUGGCAGCUUAACUGUCAGGCUUCUAAGGGAUACUGUCAGGCUUGGGACCGGAAGAGGUAAGGGGUACUCCAGGGGUAGGAGUGAAAUCUUGUAAUCCCUGGGGGACCAUCUGUGGCGAAGGCGCCUUACCAGAACGGGUCCGACGGUGAGGGACGAAAGCUAGGGGAGCAAACCGGAUUAGAUACCCGGGUAGUCCCAGCCGUAAACGAUGCUCGCUAGGUGUCAGACACGGUGCGACCGUGUUUGGUGCCGCAGGGAAKCCGUUAAGCGAGCCACCUGGAAGUACGUCGCAAGGC